GGUUUCCGUAGGUGAACCUGCGGAAGGAUCAUUAACCUUUCAAAUCAGGGUGCGGCGCGGCCCCCGAGGAGCGGAAACAAUCCUUGGGAGGUAUGCGGGGGCUUCGAGCCCCCCAUUUACGCACGCACGACUGCCAUCCUUACUUUACGAGCACCUUCUGUUCUCCCUCGGCGGGGCAACCUGCCGUUGGAACCGAAUAAACUCUUUUUGCACCUAGCAUUACCUGUUCCGAAACAAACAAUCGUUACAACUUUCAACAAUGGAUCUCUUGGCUCUGGCAUCGAUGAAGAACGCAGCGAAAUGCGAUAAGUAGUGUGAAUUGCAGAAUUCAGUGAAUCAUCGAAUCUUUGAACGCACAUUGCGCCCCUCGGUAUUCCGUGGGGCAUGCCUGUUCGAGCGUCAUCUACACCCUCAAGCUCUGCUUGGUGUUGGGCGUCUGUCCCGCCUCCGCGCGUGGACUCGCCCCAAAUUCAUUGGCAGCGGUCCUUGCCUCCUCUCGCGCAGCACAUUGCGCUUCUCGAGGGGCUACGGCUCGCGUCCAACAAGCACAUUUACCGUCUUUGACCUCNGAUCAGGUAGGGAUACCCGCUGAACUUAAGCAUAUCA
rnacentral:rRNA from 1 species